rnacentral:rRNA from 1 species
UACAGAGGGGGCAAGCGUUAUUCGGAAUUAUUGGGCGUAAAGCGCCCGCAGGCGGCUCGAUAAGUUUCAGGUGAAAUCUCCUGGCUCAACUGGGAGGGGUCCUGGAAAACUGUCAGGCUUGAGGCAGGGAGAGGGAUGCGGAAUUCCCGGUGUAGUAGUGAAAUGCGUAGAUAUCGGGAGGAACACCAGUGGCGAAGGCGGCAUCCUGGCCCUGUCCUGACGCUCAGGGGCGAAAGCGUGGGGAGCAAACCGG